AUACCUACCUGGCAGAGGCGAUACCAUGAUCACGAAAGUGAUUUUCCCAAGGUGAGGCUUAUCCAUUACACUUUGAAUGUGCUGGCCCCUGCAAUUUUCCCAAAUGUAGAACACUUGACUGUAUAAUUUGUGGUAGUGGGGUACUGCAUUUGCACUUUCCCA